rnacentral:tRNA from 1 species
CGGAGGAAUACCCAAGUCCGGCUGAAGGGAUCGGUCUUGAAAACCGACAGUACGUGAGAGCGUAGCGGGGGUUCGAAUCCCUCUUCCUCCGCCAU